rnacentral:rRNA from 1 species
GUUUUGAUUCUGGCUCAGAACGAACGCUGGCGGCGUGGAUAAGACAUGCAAGUCGAACGGGACACCAUGAGUAGCAAUACAAGUGGUGUCUAGUGGCGAACGGGUGCGUAACACGUGGAUACAUUCCGGGAAGCGGGGGAUAGCCCCAGGGAAACUUGGAUUAAUACCGCAUGUGGUCGAAAGACUAAAGGCAGGGACCGCAAGGCCUGCCACUUCCCGAUUGGUCCGCGGCCUAUCAGCUAGUUGGCGGGUAAAAGCCCACCAAGGCUACGACGGGUAGCUGGUCUUAGAGGACGACCAGCCACACUGGAACUGAGACACGGUCCAGACACCUACGGGUGGCAGCAGUCGAGAAUCUUUCACAAUGGGGCAACCCUGAUGGAGCGACGCCGCGUGGAGGAUAAGGUCUUCGGAUUGUAAACUCCUGUCAUGUGUGAACAAGGUUGUCGUGUUAAUAGCAUGGCAAAUUGAUGGUAACACAAGAGGAAGAGACGCGUAACUCUGUGCCAGCAGCCG